UGAAGGGAGCUUGCUCCUGGAUUCAGCGGCGGACGGGUGAGUAAUGCCUAGGAAUCUGCCUGGUAGUGGGGGAUAACGUCCGGAAACGGGCGCUAAUACCGCAUACGUCCUGAGGGAGAAAGUGGGGGAUCUUCGGACCUCACGCUAUCAGAUGAGCCUAGGUCGGAUUAGCUAGUUGGUGGGGUAAAGGCCUACCAAGGCGACGAUCCGUAACUGGUCUGAGAGGAUGAUCAGUCACACUGGAACUGAGACACGGUCCAGACUCCUACGGGAGGCAGCAGUGGGGAAUAUUGGACAAUGGGCGAAAGCCUGAUCCAGCCAUGCCGCGUGUGUGAAGAAGGUCUUCGGAUUGUAAAGCACUUUAAGUUGGGAGGAAGGGCAGUAAGUUAAUACCUUGCUGUUUUGACGUUACCAACAGAAUAAGCACCGGCUAACUUCGUGCCAGCAGCCGCGGUAAUACGAAGGGUGCAAGCGUUAAUCGGAAUUACUGGGCGUAAAGCGCGCGUAGGUGGUUCAGCAAGUUGGAUGUGAAAUCCCCGGGCUCAACCUGGGAACUGCAUCCAAAACUACUGAGCUAGAGUACGGUAGAGGGUGGUGGAAUUUCCUGUGUAGCGGUGAAAUGCGUAGAUAUAGGAAGGAACACCAGUGGCGAAGGCGACCACCUGGACUGAUACUGACACUGAGGUGCGAAAGCGUGGGGAGCAAACAGGAUUAGAUACCCUGGUAGUCCACGCCGUAAACGAUGUCGACUAGCCGUUGGGAUCCUUGAGAUCUUAGUGGCGCAGCUAACGCGAUAAGUCGACCGCCUGGGGAGUACGGCCGCAAGGUUAAAAUCAAAUGAAUUGACGGGGGCCCGCACAAGCG
rnacentral:rRNA from 2 species